ACAAAAUAAUGAAAACCCAAAGUUGAACUGACUCAACUUGGACCUCGUAUGUCUGAAUUAACAAUGUCAAAUAUGGAAGCAGCCCGAUUAUUAAUUCCUUUUUGGAAAAGAAGAACGAGUUUUUUGCCAAGUUGACAAGACUCACAAUUUAAAGAGGAUAAGUGGGAAAGAGAAGGAACCAGUUUCUAGGAUUUGGAGAUAUCUGGGUGACAAACAAUUAUGAAGAAGAUCAAGAGUAGCAUCAGAAGUAAAGGUAAUUGGAGACUUUGAGCUGAAGAGAUGAUAUAAUCCUUGUGACUCACGACCUACGCCAAUCACUUUUCCCAUACCCCGAUCUAUAGCCAAACAUAGUCCCUCGUUCACAAACCAUCACAUUU
rnacentral:misc_RNA from 1 species